rnacentral:rRNA from 1 species
UACGAAGGGUGCAAACGUUGCUCGGAAUUAUUGGGCGUAAAGCGCGCGCAGGCGGCCUCGCGCGCCCGACGUGAAAGCCCCCGGCUUAACCGGGGAGGGUCGUUGGGGACGGCGGGGCUUGAGGGCGGGAGAGGGCGGUGGAAUUCCCGGUGUAGUGGUGAAAUGCGUAGAGAUCGGGAGGAACACCGAUGGCGAAGGCAGCCUCCUGGGCCAACACUGACGCUCAUGCACGAAAGCGUGGGGAGCAAACAGG